CCUACGGGAUGCAGCAGUGAGGAAUAUUGGUCAAUGGGCGUGCGUCUGAACCAGCCAAGUAGCGUGAAGGAUGACUGCCCUACGGGUUGUAAACUUCUUUUAUAAGGGAAUAAAGUGAUGCACGUGUGCCUUUUUGUAUGUACUUUAUGAAUAAGGAUCGGCUAACUCCGUGCCAGCAGCCGCGGUAAUACGGAGGAUCCGAGCGUUAUCCGGAUUUAUUGGGUUUAAAGGGAGCGUAGAUGGGUUGUUAAGUCAGUUGUGAAAGUUUGCGGCUCAACCGUAAAAUUGCAAUUGAUACUGGCAGUCUUGAGUACAGUUGAGGUAGGCGGAAUUCGUGGUGUAGCGGUGAAAUGCUUAGAUAUCACGAAGAACUCCGAUUGCGAAGGCAGCUGACUAAACUGCCACUGACAUUGAUGCUCGAAAGUGUGGGUAUCAAACAGGAUUAGAUACCCUGGUAGUC
rnacentral:rRNA from 1 species